rnacentral:rRNA from 1 species
GGCGUGACGACGAGGCACUACGGUGCUGAAGCAACAAAUGCCCUGCUUCCAGGAAAAGCCUCUAAGCAUCAGGUAACAUCAAAUCGUACCCCAAACCGACACAGGUGGUCAGGUAGAGAAUACCAAGGCGCUUGAGAGAACUCGGGUGAAGGAACUAGGCAAAAUGGUGCCGUAACUUCGGGAGAAGGCACGCUGACACGUAGGUGAAGUGAUUUACUCAUGGAGCUGAAGUCAGUCGAAGAUACCAGCUGGCUGCAACUGUUUAUUAAAAACACAGCACUGUGCAAACACGAAAGUGGACGUAUACGGUGUGACGCCUGCCCGGUGCCGGAAGGUUAAUUGAUGGGGUCAGCGCAAGCGAAGCUCCUGAUCGAAGCCCCGGUAAACGGCGGCCGUAACUAUAACGGUCCUAAGGUAGCGAAAUUCCUUGUCGGGUAAGUUCCGACCUGCACGAAUGGCGUAAUGAUGGCCAGGCUGUCUCCACCCGAGACUCAGUGAAAUUGAACUCGCUGUGAAGAUGCAGUGUACCCGCGGCAAGACGGAAAGACCCCGUGAACCUUUACUAUAGCUUGACACUGAACAUUGAGCCUUGAUGUGUAGGAUAGGUGGGAGGCUUUGAAGUGUGGACGCCAGUCUGCAUGGAGCCGACCUUGAAAUACCACCCUUUAAUGUUUGAUGUUCUAACGUGGACCCGUUACCCGGGUUGCGGACAGUGUCUGGUGGGUAGUUUGACUGGGGCGGUCUCCUCCUAAAGAGUAACGGAGGAGCACGAAGGUUGGCUAAUCCUGGUCGGACAUCAGGAGGUUAGUGCAAUGGCAUAAGCCAGCUUGACUGCGAGCGUGACGGCGCGAGCAGGUGCGAAAGCAGGUCAUAGUGAUCCGGUGGUUCUGAAUGGAAGGGCCAUCGCUCAACGGAUAAAAGGUACUCCGGGGAUAACAGGCUGAUACCGCCCAAGAGUUCAUAUCGACGGCGGUGUUUGGCACCUCGAUGUCGGCUCAUCACAUCCUGGGGCUGAAGUAGGUCCCAAGGGUAUGGCUGUUCGCCAUUUAAAGUGGUACGCGAGCUGGGUUUAGAACGUCGUGAGACAGUUCGGUCCCUAUCUGCCGUGGGCGCUGGAGAACUGAGGGGGGCUGCUCCUAGUACGAGAGGACCGGAGUGGACGCAUCACUGGUGUUCGGGUUGUCAUGCCAAUGGCACUGCCCGGUAGCUAAAUGCGGAAGAGAUAAGUGCUGAAAGCAUCUAAGCACGAAACUUGCCCCGAGAUGAGUUCUCCCUGAGACUUAAAGUCUCCUGAAGGAACGUUGAAGAC